rnacentral:lncRNA from 1 species
GAAUUUGCAUUAAAUAGGAAUGAUUGUGUAGCAUUUCUUUUAAUGUCAUUUAUUGGUCAUAAUUAUCUCAUUAAUGCAAAGGCAUUACAUCUUCUCCUAGAAUCAACUAUAAAAGGAGAAAGGCCCAACACCUGUGAGGACACGUUUGAUUAUUGAGAUUACAUUGAAAUACAAACUUACUUAUUGCUUUAUUAUUAUUCUCAAGAGUCUUCAAUUAUUUUCGUCUCCUGAUUAUCAGUAACCCGAAUUUCUCUUAUCUUUAGCAUUGACUAAAGAAUCAUAUUUUUGGUUAAACAAAUUGGUUCCGUUACCGAAAAUCUGAUAAUCUUUUCUUUUAACCUAUGUUUUAUCCGUUGUUAUCAACAUGUAAAAAAUAACAACAAUAACAAUAACAGUUAAAACACCUUGGGAAACCAUAGAAAUCAAAUCCAGCAAAAUCAAGGAGAUCUACCAAACAUUGACGUGUUUCCCUCCCCUCAAAACUCGCCACGUCAAUCUCGUGAAGGCACUCCUGCUCCAGAAUCUCGUGUUGAUCAACAAGAGAAAUCUGAACAUUUUGAAGGAGCAAAUAAAGCUUUACAAAAAUUAGUUGAUGCACAGGUCAGCAAAGCUCUUCAGGCUCUAGUUAGUCUAUUGCCUGUUGCACCACCCACACCAACGCCUAGUAAUAAUACAUUGGAGAAUCCUCGUUCUGGUGUUGUUAGUUCUGGAAAUGGAGGAACCACCAGUAAACCACAAGAAGGAGAACUAGGUAAUUCAAAUAAUUCUCAUUUGUAAAACUUAGUAUUAACUUUGCAUAAACAACUUAAGGAACAGAAUGAGCGCAUUGAGCAAAUCCCUGGAGUUCCCCCUGUAAUCAAAAGAGUGGACGUGGAUAAAUACUCACAACAACCUUGGAAACCAAGUGCUGCUCCUCUUCCAAUUCCCAAAAAAUUCAAAUGCCUGAUAUUUCAAAGUACGACGGCACAACAGAUCCACGUGAUCAUGUAACCGCAUUUACAAUAGGCGUAACAGGCAAUGACUUGACCAAGUAAGAAAUUGAAUCAGUACUGGUCAAAAAAUUUGGAGAAAUACUCACCAAGGGUGCAUUAACCUGGUUCUCUCUUUUACCUGAAAAUUCUAUAAAUUCUUUUGCUGAGCUUGCAGAUUCUUUUAUUAAAACACACUCGGGAGCUCAAAAAUUAAAAAAAGAAAGAAAGAAUGGAAUUCAAAAUUAAACAAGGGGACUCAGAGCUACUCAGAGAUUUUGUUGAUAGAUUCCAAUGAGAGAGGAUGACUUUAUCCUGUGUACCUGAUAAUUGGGCUGCAAUAGCUUUUGCAAGCAACUUAAAAUAAAAGUUCGGAAGCCACGAGAAUACUUAAAGAAAUCCUUUGAGAGUUCUCUGCAACCACGUGGAAUAGUGUUUACAACAGGUAUAGUACAAAGCUGCAAAUUGAAGAAGAUACCGUGCCUAAAUUUCAUCACAAAGAAAGGAGCGGUUCCAGGAGAUCAGAAACCGAAAAAAGAUCAAGUAAAAAUAGGUACGAUCCAUAUAUGGGACCUGCAGGGAAAGAGUCCCGGUCAAAGCAGGAUAACCAACAAUAUGAUCAAAAAUCGAGGAACAGGGAAUCUGGUUUUUCAUCAAGGUUCAGAAACGAUCGAAGCAGACAAGAGUCACGAGAUGAUGACAUAAGUUUAAAGGCAAGGUUCGGUGGAUAUAACUACCUCCGAGCUCGUAGCUAUUUUGAGGAGCAUGGGAGAUAAGGUACGACAAUUCAAGUGUGGUAACAAAAGGAGCGGUAAUUCUAACAACUCUUGUUGCAGGUGUUGUUAAAGAAACAAAAUUUUGGGUAGCUGGUAUGGAAAUGGCUUACAAUAUGAUCAUGGGGAGGCCUUGGAUCCAUGAUAUGGAUGCUAUCCCAUAAACUCUACAUCAAGUUAUUAAAUUCUCAUUACCGUGGAGGAUUUGACAAAUUCGGGGGGAUCAGGAGACAUCCAGGAAUAUCAACGCAAUAACAGAUACGAGCACCGUAAAUAAAAAAAUAGCAAUUACAGGAAAUAGUUGAAGGUAUCAAAAAUCAAACCUCAAUUGAGCGAGAAAAGACAGAUUUAGACUCGAGACCUGAUACAAUUCAAGAAAAUCAUGAGAAUGAAAUAUCAAAACAACAAUCAAAGAGCUCGAGGCUGUGAUUUUGUUUGAGCAAUGGCCAGAACAGAAAGUUUAUGUUGGAGCCAAUUUAAGCUCAGACAUACGAGGUAUGUUGAUUAAAUUUUUAAAAGCUAAUGUGAAUUGUUUUGCUUGGUCCCAUGCUGAUAUGACAGGGAUACCACCGGAUGUAAUGACUCACAAAUUAAACGAAGACCUAUCAUUUACACCAGUAAAACAAAUGAAAAGAAAACAAGGAGCUUUCAAAAAUUAGGUGAUUCAAGAUGAGGUCCAAAAAAUAUUGAUAAUUCGGUUAAUCUGCGAGUAAAGUAUCCUAAUUGGUUAGAAAACACGGUUGUUGUACCUAAGAAAAACGGUAAGUGGGAGGUCUUUGUGGAUUAUACAGAUCUUAACAAAGCCUGCCCAAAAGAUUCUUUCCCCUGACCGCAUACAGAUCAAUUAACUGAUGCAACUACAUGACAUGAACUUUUGAGUUUUUAGAUGCAUAUUCAGGGUACGACCAAAUUAUAACGGAUUCUAGUGAUGAAGAAAAAACUUCUUUCCUCACAAAUAUGGGGACUUACUAUUAUAAAGUAAUGCCCUUCGGUCUCAAAAAUGCUAGAGCAACCUAUCAAAGGUUAGCCACCAAAAUGUUCCAAGAACAUUUAGGAAAAAACAUGGAGGUAUAUAUAGACGACAUGUUCGUCAAAACCCAGCAUUCUUAUGAUUAUAUUUCUCAUCUAUCUGUUACAUUUGAAAUAUUACAAAAUUUUAAUAUGAAACUCAAUCCAGAGAAAUGUGCAUUUGGAGUUGCAUCAGGUAAGUUUUUGGAUUUUCUUGUUUCUAACAGUGGUAUUGAGGUAAAUCAUUCUCAGAUCAAAGAAAUAGAGAAAAUCCCUGAUAUCCUUACGAAUAAAAAAGAAGUUCAAAGGCUAACAUGAAGAAUUGCAGCCUUGGGAAGAUUUAUUUCCAAAUCUUCAGAAAAAUAUUUUAAAUUUUUCUCCGCACUCAAAAAACAAGAUCAUUUUGAAUGAAAUGAAGAUUGCCAACAGGUCCUUAGAAAUUUAAAAACUUACCUGUCAAAUCUACCACUUUUGGCAAAGCCAAAAGAAGGGGAAAAGCUACUCAUCUAUUUGGCCGUGUCAGAAGUUGCGAUAAGUGUUGUUUUAAUUCGUGAGGACCAAGGUCAACAAUCUCCUAUCUAUUAUGUAAGAAAGUCUUUACUAUAUGCCGAGGCACGAUAUCGUAAUCUAGAAAAAAUAGCAUUGGCUUUGAUCAUGGCAUCUAGAAAAUUAAGACCUUACUUUCAAUGCCAUCCCAUUGUUGUAGUUACUGUUUUUCCAUUACGAAACAUUUUGCAUAAACAUGAAUUGUCAGGGAGAUUAGCAAAAUGGGUUAUAGAAUUAAGUGAAUAUGAAAUUAUUUAUCAACCUGGGACUGCUAUAAAAUCUCAAGUACUAGUCGAUUUCGUAGCUGAUUUUAGUAAGGGGAUGCAUUUAGAAGAAGAAAAAGAAUUAACAGUUUUUAAUGCUGCAAACCCAGGAACUUGGAUUUUAUUUAUUGAUGUCUCAUCUAAUGUAAAAGGAGCUGGCCUAGGAAUAAUUCUCGUACCACCUACGGGAGAAACUAUUAGACGAGCUAUAAAAUGUCAUUCUAUAACUAACAAUGAAGCAGAGUAUGAUGCUGUAAUUGCAUUUCUAGAAUUGGCAGAUUAUAAUCAAAUGUGAUUCUCAACUCGUUGUCAAUAGAUGCUGGCAACUUAUACAGCCAGAGAGACACGAAUGCAAGAAUAUCUCGAAAAGGUACGGGAACUAAUAAAGCAAUUCUAAACUUGGAAGGUAAUGUAGAUCCCAAGAGAUGAGAAUGUGGAAGUAGAUGUUUUAGCUAAUCUCGCAAUUGCAGCAGACAUAGCAAAUGACGCAAACACUUUAGUUAUACAUCUGUUUCAUUCUGUUCUCGAACCUGAUAAAAACGAGGUAAAUUUUGAUCAUUUAACAUGGGAUUGGAGAAACAAAAUUAUUUUUUUACAGCAUGGAACUGUUCCUAAUGACAAAAAAUAAAGCUCAUGCACUUCGAAAAAAAGUUGCUCGUUACUGUUUAUAUCAAGGAAAUCUUUAUCGGAAGAUGUUCGGUGGACCACUAGCAAGGUGCCUCGGACCUUCUCAAACAGAAUAUGUGAUGAGGGAAGUACAUGAAGGACAUUGCGUAAAUCACGCAGGGGGAAGGUCACUGGUAAGAACGUUGAUUCGAGCAGGGUAUUAUUGGCCUAAGAUGGAAGAGGAGGCAAACAGUAUUUUGUCCGAAUGUGAUAAAUGUCAAAGAUACGGCAAUAAUACGCAUAGACCACCUAAGUUACUACACCCUGUUAUAGCCCCGUGGCCUUUUAUGAAAUGGGGGACGGAUAUUGUAGGUCCAUUACCACAAGCAAAAGGUCAAGUGAAGUUUCUACUUGUACUUACAGAUUAUUUCACUAAAUGGGUAGAAGCAGGAGCAUUUAAACAGGUAUGAGAGAAGGAAGUUAAAGAUUCCAUAUGGAGAAAUAUAAUAUGCCAUUCUGGAGUACCAAAAGAAAUCGCGUGUGACAACAGUCCGCAAUUCAUAUGAGCUCAAAUCACAUAAUUUCUUCAAAGUUGGAAAAUUAAAAGGAUAACAUCUACGCCAUACCAUCCAGUGGGCAAUGGACAAGCGAAAACCACAAACAAAGCCAUUACCAACAAUUUGAAGAAAAGGUUACAAGAUUCGAAGGGUAAUUGGCCUGAGGUAUUACCUAGAGUAUUAUGGGCUUAUCAUACAACGACAAAAACAAGCACAGGAGAAAUACAAUUUUCAGUGGUUCAUGGUAUGGAGGCAUUAAUUAUAGUUGAAAUAGGAGAACCGAGCACACGGUACGGUCAAUCAACGGAGGAAUCAAAUGAUGAAGAGAUGCGGGUGAACCUCAAUUUGCUCGAAGGAAGAAGAGAAGCUACAUUAAGAAGAAUGGUAGAACAAAAGCAAGUAAAUUAACGAUAUUACAAUAGGAAAGCACGCCUCAUAUUUUUCAAAAUUGGGGACUUCGUGCUUAAAAAGGUGUUCCAAUCUACAAAGGCUGCUAAUUCAGGAAAGCUGAGUCCAACGUGGGAAGGACCCUACAGAGUUCGUGACAUUGCAUGGAAAGGAGCAUACGAGUUGGAGAUAAUGGAUGGUAAGGUUUUACCCUCACAUUGGAGUACUGUCCAUUUAAAGAGAUAUUACUUCUAAGAAAGUACCCACUAUCAGGUAUCACCAUGUUAGAAUUUUUCUUUGAAUUGUUAAAAUCUUACUAACGAUUUUAGAUGCAAAGCAAAAACCCUAACUCGUGCCAAAUGACGAGUCACGACCUGCACGAUAAAAUGGAAUAUUCUAAAAUUCCCAGCCCAGGGUUACAAUUAAUCUGAUGGAAAUAUACGCGGGUUAGGCAAUCUUCAUCUAUAAUCGCACCUCCGAGUCCCGUAUGUUUUUUCUGUUUCAAAAAAGGACCAAAUUGAGAGAAGAAAACAAGUGCUCGAGGCUUCAUACUUCACCGCUCAAACAUUUGGGGGACUACAUAUUAUAUACAGAUACGUACAGAUAAACAGAUACGAAUAUCGAACAAAAAUUGAUCAAGAUUGAGUACGAUGUAAAAGAAAAAUCCAACAACAAAGAGACAAGUGUUGAGCAAAAGUUACGGAGUCUUCAGCAUUCAUCAUUCUGUUCAACAAAUGUAAACAUAAGAUAUUCAUCAUAAUAUUUUUUCUCAUGAGAAAACAAUAGAGUCAUCUCUCAAACUCAUGGGAACAACAUAGUCAUCUUUCAAACCCUUCCUAAUAUAUGAAGAUAGGGCCAUGACUAUGUACUGAAACAGGUUAUAAGGAAAAACCUUAUUUAUUUUAUAAUUUGUAAAAUCCGUUACAAGAAAAAUAGUUACGUGAAAGUUAUAUAUGUAUUUUAAUGCAUGUAAUAUUCAAAAGCUUGUCCAAGUUCAUGAAUAAAAACUUGUAAAAGUUAUUUCAAUCAAAACAUGUGUGUUCAUAUUUCUUUCAGCGCAUUAUAACACCAUUAUGAAGUUGAGACGUCUUCUUCAUUAAGUAUCGAUAUAUAAAAGGGCCCUAUUUUAUAAAUCUCAUGUUAGUAACUCAUAAGAAGGAUCAUAAAGCAUUUUCAAAGGAUAAAAAUGCUAAGCUAUUCUAUAAGUCCUUAGUAAAUAAAAAAAGGCAAGAAUAGAACAUAUAGACAGGUGUUGUUAAAGAAACAAAAUUUUGGGUAGCUGGUAUGGAAAUGGCUUAGGCAAGAAUAGAACAUAUAGAAGUAUUGAGAAAACUUCCCAAUAUGAUUAAAAAGGAAUAACUAAAAACUUAGUCAGCAAAAUAUGUUUUACAAACGCCCCAUUAUGGUAAAUGGGGACUUCAUCAAAAAAUUCCUUAAAACUGCCAAGGGAUAAAAUCGAACUACCAAUUAAUAAAAAAAAGUUUGAAACAUAUUCAAAUGGUCACUGAAGGGUUGGAUUGAUAGAAGUUUCAGAAACAACCACAGAUGCGGUAGUAACUCCUGAAGAAGCGGUAACAGGAACGGUCUCAGCUGGGCCUAAAGUACUAAGUUCAUCGAGGGAAACAAGAGUCACAGGAGCUUCAGCUUCCACAGACUGUGUCAUAGAAGCUUCACCCUCGGGAGCUGGAAUUGCAACAUUCUCUACUUCAACUUCUACAGCAACGACUUCAUUGUUCAAAUGUUCUUCAGCCACAAGAGCUUCGAGUGCAGGAGAGUCAAGUGGUUGGGCUUUUUCAAUAGUGUCUAAAACUUUGGCUGAUUCUGAUUGUAAAUCAAAAUUUUCUUGAGUGGUCUCCAUCAAAGUAUCACGACGGAAAUUUGGAAAAUCCCAACUCAUCUCUAUAUUAAAAUUCUCCUCAAGAAGUUCAUACUCCCUUUCCCACAUAACAAGAUCAUUCUUCAACACUUGGUGCUCAGCUAAAUGAGAAUCAAGGGAAGCAUCGAGAGAGGCAUUAGAACUCUCUAAGGCACGUACUUUGGGAGAGGAAAUCAUUAAAUCAGCCUGAGCUUGAGUCAAGCUUUGCACUAAUUCCCCUGCGUAUUCUUCUUUCUUAGCCAAGAGUGCCUUGAGUUCUCUGACUUCUUCGCUUGACUUUGAUAAUUUCUCUGAAAAUGCACAUUCAAUACGCUCCUUAUCUUUUUCAAAUUGGCUUGAAGAAGCCUUGGCAUUGCUAAUUCAGAAGUCAAACCUCGCUUUUGCUGCUCCAGAUGAUUUCUACUCUCUUGCAAUUCCUCUAUGGUUCCCUGAGCAUUCUCAAAUUGUUCUUUUCAGUUAGCAACUUCUAGCUGGGCUCCCUUGGCUAUUUCCUCAGCCUCGUGGAUAGCCUUAUCAGACUCAUGGGCUUUCUUUUCCAAAUGGGAAAUUCUUCCCAUCAACUCAAUACCAAUGAGGUUAGCCUACAAUGAUAAGAUAUAAGGAUCAGAGUCCAAAAGUAAAAAAUGAAUGCUCGUAAAUAAGAAGAAGAAAAGUACCUUCAGAGUAGAAUGAACUAUGUCAUUCAUCAGCGUUAAGCAACUACGACUGCUCAUUUUCUUCUUCUAAAUAUCUCCAACUAAUGGCUCAAGCCAAACAUCUGCUCCACAUGACUUCCUUAAAAGACUUUUAUUAGUAAGAACUUCUAAUGUAAUGAUCCUCAUAGCUAAACUUCUAUUACUGGAACCAUCCCAUGCCUGAUGAACAAAGGUAAAGGGAGCUACAGAAGGAGGAGCGGUGAAAGAAGUGAAAAUAACAGAAGUCAAAAGAUCUGAAGCAGGUAAGGGAGUAUAAAUUGGCAAGGGAGUAUUAACAGAUAAACCAGACAAUGAAGCACUUGAAACCAAGGGAGGAAUAGAAGAAACAUGAAUAGAAGAAGAGAGAGGAGUUUCAUCAAGAACUGGCACAAGUUCUCCACUUUCGAAACCACUAGCAAAGAGAAGUUGAAUAGAAUCAGAGGUGUCUUUUGGAGUGGUUUCAUCAUCAAAAGGAAUGAGAACAGGAAUGGGGAGAGAGGCACAAGUAAAUUCAGCUUCAUCCACAAAAACAAUGCGUCUCCUAGCUCUUGGUCUAGUUAUCAAAGAGGUAUCCUCAUCUUCCUCAUUCUCAGAAUCUUCUUAUAUAACUUUCCACUUUGAAUGCAUGACAUGAGUUUUUUCCAAAGAAAGUGAAGAGCUAGAAUAAGCUCGAAGGGCAACGGCUACCUCAGCUGUCAUACCCCUAAUACCAGGACAGCAUGACUUGAGUUCUUUCCAAAGAAAGUGAAGAGCUAGAAAAAGCUCGAAGGGCAACGGCUACCUCAUCUAUCGUACCCCUUAUACGAAAUCCUGAUAAAAAUAAGGAUGAAAGGUUAAGAGCAAGAAAGAAUUUAACAUACGAAAAAGCAUAAGAGAUACGUACCAUGAGUCUUUACUUUUCAACCAUGUAAAUUGAAAAUACAUUUCCAAGUUCUCUCUUCCAUAGGCACGACUUUUAAGAUUGAAUCUACACAACCACAUAAAUUAGGAACGGGUUCCAUAUUUCCUAUGGUUGCUACAAAAAAAAGUAAGAAAAGACUAAAAUCAGAGGAGAAGUUAAAACUUUUACAAAUAGGUACGAUAAGUAAAAAAAACUUACGUGCAAAGUUCCACUUCUCAAGAAAGGAGAUGUUUGUUUCUCCCACCAAAUCAAUUGUUCGUACUGCCACAUAACGAGCAUACCACCCACGAUCUUUAUCAUCCUCAGGGCUUACCAAAACUUUUUUACUCCUUGCUGUUAAGGUAAAAACCUCAUGGCGGAAUAAUUUGGGAUGGUAGAGAUGAAUAAUAUGGGAAAAGAAAAAACUAACAUUGGCUUUAAUGGAUAAGUAUCCCAAACAACCCACAGCUUUCCAUAUGAAAGGGCCAACUUGUGCUAAGUAAAUUUUGAAAAAACGGCAGAAGUCAAGUAUAAUUGGGUCAAUAACAGGCUUAAAUCCUAAAAUGAAGGGAUAAGUAUAAAGAAAAAAAUCCAAUUCUGAAAGAAGAAAUUCUCUGGUUUGGAUUAGAGAUCAUCAUACGAAGAUUACUUCUCCAGUUACAAUCAUUCCAAAUAGUAUGAAUCAAAGGUUCAGUUAUUAAAGAAGGAAAGAUGUCCGCUUUCUCUAAUUGAUAACAUGUUCUUGAAGAGAUUUUCUAUCACUCCCAAAAGAUAAGUCAUUGGGUACUAUUUCUUUGAGUAAGGGUUCUUGUAAAGGCUCAGAAAGUUCUUUGCCUUUAGAAGAAGGUUUCUUAGAGAUAGAACCUCUAGGGAUAGUGCCAGAACUAGAAGAAAGAGUGAUAGAACCACUACGAACAGAUCCCAAGCUAACGAAGCAUGCCACCUUUGCCUCUUCUAUGCCUAGCGUUGGGGAAGCUAUCAAGAAUUAGGACUCUCUUGGGGUAAGAAUUAGGUGAUGCUAUUGCAGAGAAAGGAUGAAAUAAAGGAGAAAAGGAAUAAAAAUGAAGAGAAGAGUAUUUGUUAAGGGUUUACGAAGAAGAAGACAAAGACAAAAGGUUAAAUAUGCAUAUAAUAGCAACUGUCAAAGAAGUGUAAUGAUCGAAAGCCUAUAAUAAAGGCAAUUAUCACUUCGUGAACAGAAGGAUGAAGAAGUCUUGAAAAAGGCUUCUGAAUUACAGAGCCAAUCAAAAGGGGAUACGUGUGCAGAGCAUUAAAUAGAAAAGACAAUUGAAGCGUCAGUACUGUCAUAGCAUUGAUUACGACAAAAAUUCUCUUUUUGUGAAAAUCCACUUCCCAAAUAUUUAAGUAAUAAAUAUACGAAAAGUGGGGGGACUAUCUGCAUUGGGAAAAAACUAAAUUUAUAUAUUGAAGAUGAUGUGUCAAGACACGUGGACUGGUCAAAAGGUCAAAACACAAUGAAUAGCUAAAGGAAACGAGCCACAACAUGUACGGGAAGGAGAAAGUUAAAUAGGCACAAGACGCUAUUCAAAUGGAAUGAGUCUCAUACCUAUUUAAAUCAUUUAAAGCCAAAGAGAUCAGAAGGAAUUGAUGAUACGAAUCUGAUGACAUAAAGGAGUCCAAAUUCAGUAUUAAAUGUUAAAUACGUUAUGAAAUUUGUAUUAAAUAUGAAUGAUCGUGUAACAUAUUUUGAUUGUGUAACAUUUUUUUAUGUCAUUUAUUGCUCAUAAUUGUCUCAUUAAGACAAAGGCAUUACACCUUCUCCUAAAAUUAUCUCAUUAAUGCAAAGGCAUUACACCUUCUCCUAGAAUCAACUAUAAAAGGAGAAAGACUCAACAUAUGUGAGGACACGAUUGAUUAUUGAGAUUACAUUGAAAUACAAACUUACUUAUUGCUUUAUUAUUAUUCUCAAGAGUCUUCAAUUAUUUUCGUUUCCUGAUUAUCAAUAACCCAAAUUUCUCUUUAUCUUUAAUUUUGACCAAAAGAAUUGAAUUUUUGGUUAAACAGGAACAACAACAACAGUAAAAAGAUAGUGGAAAUCGGGCAGUAAUGAAAAACCAAAAACGCAGAAACUUUCGAAGGAUAAAGAAACUAAAAAUGACUUCAAGAACUAUGUAUAUUUUGGAAGAUUGUUUACUCUCCGGAAAAUCACUAAAAGUUCUCAAGCUUUCAGAUCUUUUUAGAGUGUGAAACACGUUUUGAAUAUGUGUAAAAUAGUGUGUAAAGACCUCACCUUUAUAGGAGAGAAGGACUCUUGGGAGAGAUUUUAUUUAGCCAAAAAUAUAUCCAAAAUAAUAGAUUUUUAACCAAAUAUCUGUCCUAACCCAGAAUUUUGUCCAAUGAAAAGUUUUCCUCACCAAAUCUGGAUAGUCUUUUGGAGAAUUAUAUUCCAAAACAGUUCUCAACAGUAAAAGUAACCAAAUAUAGGCUCUACACUCAAGUACCCCAUACUACCCUUCCCAUUUAUCAUCAAUUCAUUCAUUCAGCAGAAAUAGAUCUCAAACCAGACUUGGAUUGGCCAAAUCUGGUAGUAAAAGGGCAAAUCUUUACAAACAAAUCAAAACUCAAACAAUUAAGCUGAACCAAACAAAAGCACACCACAAUAUAUUAAGAACACUUUAUCUUGAUAAUAAAUUCGACCACAAAACAUGUUCAUCUCAAACAAAACGAUCCUAAUUGAGUGAACGAUCAACUACAACAAAAAUCCAACAACCGAGGAAUCUAACGAGUGACUGAUUAUCUUAGUUAAAUAUCUAACUAUAUCAACACACCCUAUUUAACAUGAAUUAACCAUGAUGAAUAACAAUCACAUGAGAAACAACUUUAAACCUUCAAUUUAACUAAACUGACCAGCGAUUUUGUUGGAAACUGUUGAAACUUCAGUUAAUUAGCACGACGAAUUAAACAUAAAAUAACAGAAACUGUAAUUGAAGCUAAAAUUUAUAAACUUGAAUCUAAAACUAACUUCAAACAUCGCUAGCAGAACUUAUGAGAUAGGAAUCUUAUUGAAGCAGCUAAAUGAAUGAACAACACAUUAAUUUGAAAUAAAAAAGUGACGACUAAUCAUUACUGACUCUAAACUAACUAACGACUAACUAAAGAUAAAUAAAACACAAGAAUAAACAAAGAAGAAAAAUCAGAAAUUUAGACCUAAACAAACUACAAUGAAAUAAAAAAAAAUAAAAAAAAUAAAAGGGACACAAGGUAUUAGGGUGCACCAGAAACUUGAGUGUUCGAGACAGUGGUGGUGCGGUAGUAGUGGCGAUUCGGGCAGUGACGGAUGAAGUUUGGACGUCGUACAUGCUCUUCUUGUUGCUGGCCCGUCAUUAUCAGCUCCAAUACUGAAGUCCAAUAACGAACUCUGCAACUAGAAAAGCUCGUUCAAGUCAAAGUAGAAGUGACCAGCGACCCGCCGAAAUUUAGCCACAUGAGUUUCGAAUUCAAAAUAAGAAAGAAAGGUAGAUUACGGGAAGAAAUACACACUCGUGUAGGUAUUAAGUGGUGGUAAGGUCUCAAACUUGACAAAUUGAGGAGAAAUAGGCGGGUAGCAUUUCCAAUUUUUGUCAAUUUACAGUGUUUGAGAAGGAUUCGAGGGAUUUGGGUCUUGGAUUGGGGUAAAGGAGGAGGAGAGGAAGAGCUUGGCAUUGGUUGGAAGGUAUUUGGUCACCGUAGGAUGGUGCCACCACUGUAGGGGACGGGCAGCGGGGACAGAGGGAGAAGAAGAGAGGAGAGGGCUUCUAGGGUUUGGGUUAUGGAGAAAUGGCCACUGUUUCUAUUUUAGCG